UACGGGGGGGGGCAAGCGUUGUUCGGAAUUACUGGGCGUAAAGGGCGCGUAGGCGGCGUAACAAGUCACUUGUGAAAUCUCCGGGCUUAACUCGGAGCGGUCAAGUGAUACUGUUGUGCUAGAGUGCGGAAGGGGCUACUGGAAUUCUCGGUGUAGCGGUGAAAUGCGUAGAUAUCGAGAGGAACACCUGCGGCGAAGGCGGGUAGCUGGGCCGACACUGACGCUGAAGCGCGAAAGCUAGGGGAGCGAACGGG
rnacentral:rRNA from 1 species